AGGAUAAACGCUGGCGGCGUGCCUAACACAUGCAAGUCGAACGCGCUUUCGGGCUUCGGUGCGAGAGCGAGUGGCGGACGGGUGAGUAACACAUGGGUACCUACCUUGGAGUGAGGGAUACCGGCGAGAAAUCGCCGACAAUACCGCAUAGGCUUCUUCACAAGGGAAGCAAAGUGACGCGAGUCACGCUUUGAGAUGGGCCUGUGGCCGAUUAGCUAGUUGGGGGGGUAACGGCUUCCCAAGGCGACGAUCGGUAGCUGGUCUGAGAGGACGAUCAGCCACACUGGGAUUGAGAACGGCCCAGACUCCUACGGGGGGCAGCAGUGAGGAAUUUUCGUCAAUGGGGGCAACCCUGAACGAGCAACGCCGCGUGCAGGAAGAAGGUUUUCGGAUCGUAAACUGCUUUUCUCGGGGAAGAGAACGGACGGUACCCGAGGAAUCAGCCCCGGCUAACUACGUGCCAGCAGCCGC
rnacentral:rRNA from 1 species